rnacentral:rRNA from 1 species
UGGGGAAUAUUGGACAAUGGGUGAGAGCCUGAUCCAGCCAUCCCGCGUGAAGGAUGACGGUCCUAUGGAUUGUAAACUUCUUUUGUACAGGGAUAAACCUACUCUCGUGAGGGUAGCUGAAGGUACUGUACGAAUAAGCACCGGCUAACUCCGUGCCAGCAGCCGCGGUAAUACGGAGGGUGCAAGCGUUAUCCGGAUUUAUUGGGUUUAAAGGGUCCGUAGGCGGACUUGUAAGUCAGUGGUGAAAUCUCAUAGCUUAACUAUGAAACUGCCAUUGAUACUGCAGGUCUUGAGUAAAUUUGAAGUGGCUGGAAUAAGUAGUGUAGCGGUGAAAUGCAUAGAUAUUACUUAGAACACCAAUUGCGAAGGCAGGUCACUAAGAUUUAACUGACGCUGAUGGACGAAAGCGUGGGGAGCGAACA